AUUCGAUAAGGGAUAGUUUAAGAAUAAUGGAAACUUUGGAUCGGGGAGCAUUCGUUCCCGGACGAGUGACUCCCCCAUUGAGGUCAGCUUGUAACAAAGAGGAAGUUUGUUCGGAAGGUCAGGGUUACCUGAUUUGAGCACCACUGACCUGGACUUCAGUAGGGAGUGGAUCUCCCGGUUCAUCCAUGGUUUCUGGUUUGGGAACACCCGGACUGACCUCUUUGGCGCACAGUCCUCUGCACACUUGCUGAUAAAAGUCUGUGAAGGGCCUGUCUCCGUGCUGUACAACUCUAUGACUGUUUAUGAAAUGGAGAUCAAGUUUGACAGAUGUGUUUUAGAGGUUGUAAUCGGUGGGAUCAAUCAGGGGAAACCAGAGGAUGGCACCUAGCUGAACUUUGAUGAGGCCUCAGUGGAACCUCUCACAGCCACACGGCCACAGGCAGCUGCAGCCCUGACGUCAGGCACCAUGGCCUUCUGCUUGUGCUCACACGUCCUCCACCUUGGCUCUCCGUCUCACUCCACCCCCGGGACACCCUCGUCACUCGAACUGACUGCUCACCUGAACAGACGCAGUGGGAGAGCCGACCUCCGUACUGUCCCAUCCCUGGGGAAGGAUGGUCACCGGUUCCAUGCUCAUCUGUCUCUGGAUGACUGCCUCCGCCUCAGUCCGUUACAGGAACGACAGGCGGCCCAGAGACCGUGACCAGCUUAAAACCUGCUGGACGGCACUGCUCUGUGCAACACUCUGCACCCCAGGUCCCCAGUGUCAAUGGGGAACACUCCCACACACAGAGACCUCCACCGGGGCACCCUCGCUGCUGGAUGGCAGAGUGGACUGACACGGCAUGUCCGGGCGGCAGACGAGGGCGAGGAAGUGGAGGGUGGGCGGGAGCAGCUCGUGCAGGGAACACCUCUGCGCAGCAGGGAGGGCAUUUCUGAGAGACGGCUCAUGUGGGUGAAUGGUUCCUGAGGAGGGUUUUGGGGCCCAGGUCCAGCUGAGUGCGAUCCCACGACUGAGCCGCCAUGAAGCAUUGGCUUGCCAAGUUCACAUUUGCAGUGUGUGUGUGUGUGUGCCCACACCCCCACCCCCCUGUCCUGACCGUGUUCCCCCCCUUGGGCUCACUGUGCGACGUAGGAGCUGUGGGCUGGCUCCCUCACAGGGCCGGGAGCCAGGCGAUGGGCCGCAUGGCCCCCUCCUGUGUCUGUGAUUCUUCCUCAUUGACUUCAGGAAGCGGGCGGAGCACACGAGGUGGAGGUGGUUGAGAGCUUCAAAGAUGACGCCGGAGUGUGGCGACUGGUUGCAAGCUGCUCCCUGCAGAUCUACUCAUUACUUUUCCUGUAAUCGUUCUACUCUCUUAAAUUUAAAUUCUAUGUACCUGCAAUGCACUCCCCUGUAGCCGUGAAACUUUACUCUGUGUUCCGUUAUUGUUUUACCCUGUACUACCUCAGUGCACUGUGUAAUGAAUUGACCUGUACGAUCGGUAUGCAAGACAAGUUUCUCACUGUACCUCGGUACAAGU